rnacentral:lncRNA from 1 species
CUCCAUAAGAGCAUAAACACACAUGCAGCAUCAUAAGGAAGGAAUAAGGAUUGAGUUUUGGGAUUAAAUCUCAAUAAUGAAAGGAAGAGUGUGAAUCACUAACCAUAUCUCAAUUUCUAAGCACCCAAGACUUAAUCUUUGAUUCUUCAACAUUUACAGGUCCCAAACUAUCAGAAUUUCGUACCCCAGAGCUUCGAUUUGAGAAAACAAGAUUUGGCCAUGGAAGGUGCAUUUUCGGCCAUGGAAGAAUGAGGAGAAGAUUCAAAGCUUAAACUCAUAUUUAUAGUGAUCUACUGACAACGGGUUUGAGGUUUUCGAUCUUGCAUGCAUCUGGUUUCUGAGAGGUAGUUGAUAAAGAAGGUUUGGAAUAUGUGGUUAUGGUGAAAAUGUGAGAUUUGGGCGUGAGAGAGAGAAGAGAGGGCUAGUGUUUGCU